CAGAUUAGUAGAGUCAUUGAUAUAGCAGAUAAAAAAGGUUUUCUAAUUAAUAUUCUUGGGGUCAAUUGUUCUGAUGUCUAGAGUAGUGUUUACAGUAACUUACAAUUCUAAGACAUCCUGAGGGCAGAAGGACUCUCCCAUUCAAAUACAAAUACUAGA